rnacentral:misc_RNA from 1 species
UUUCCGUAGGUGAACCUGCGGAAGGAUCAUUCAUAGUAAAGAGUUUUAUGGCACUUUUUGAAAAUCCAUAUCCACCUUGUGUGCAAUGUUAGAUCUCGUCAAUCUUGGCGAGAUUUUUAUACAUCAACUCAUUCUUUAACUAAUUUGUCUGAAAAAUAUUAUGAAUACUUAAUUCAAAAUACAACUUUCAACAACGGAUCUCUUGGCUCUC